rnacentral:rRNA from 1 species
UACGGGAGGCAGCAGUGAGGAAUAUUGGGCAAUGGGCGAAAGCCUGACCCAGCAACGCCGCGUGAGUGAAGAAGGCCUUCGGGUUGUAAAGCUCUGUUAUAGGGGACGAAGGAAGUGACGGUACCCUAUAAGGAAGCCCCGGCUAACUACGUGCCAGCAGCCGCGGUAAU